AGUGAACGCUAGCGGUAGGCCUAACACAUGCAAGUCGAACGCGUGGCGGACGGGUGAGGGAUACAUCGGAAUCUACUCUGUCGUAGGGGAUAACGUAGGUAAACUUACGCUAAUACCGCCUACGCGUUAAUGAGACGAGGUCGGAUUAGCUAGUUGGUGGGGUAAGGGCCCACCAAGGCGACGAUCCGUAGCUGGUCUGAGAGGAAGAUCAGCCACACUGGAACUGAGACACGGUCCAGACUCCUACGGGAGGCAGCAGUGGGGAAUAUUGGACAAUGGGCGCAAGCCUGAUCCAGCCAUACCGCGUGGGUGAAGAAGGCCUUCGGGUUGUAAAGCACUUUUGGUGGGAAAGCGUUACCCAAAGAAUAAGCACCGGCUAACUUCGUGCCAGCCGCCGCGGUAAUAC
rnacentral:rRNA from 1 species